rnacentral:lncRNA from 1 species
CUGGAGUGAAGAGCUAGUACAGUAUCUGGCAUCAGAGUGGCUCCCUUCCAAAAAGAAGUGGGCGCAUUGCUACACGAACAAAGUGUUCCAUCUCAGCAACAUAAGGCUUGCUUGCACCACCUCGAUUAGCAAGGCUGACGGACUAUUCCGUGCAUACGAUCGACUAAUGACGAGUUAAGUGUUGAAGAUAAGAAAGUCGCUAAAAGACUCACGGAUGAAGGUACGUACGGUAGUUUCAAGUUUAGUGCAUGCAUUUUUCACAAGGUGUGUAUUAAUCGACAUUGUUUCAUGCAGUCAUUUUUCAUUUGGGACAAACAGUAUGGGAAGUUGAACAGGGAGGUGAGCUUGUGGGCGAUUGAGCUACUGGUUGAAGAUCGGGCGUUGGUGAGGUCAUGCACGUGUGGGAUCUGGAUUCGAAGGGGCUGUCAUGUAGAUGUGAAGUUCAGCGCUGUAUGGAAGAGGAUAUAUUGUUGUACAUGAGACACCUGCACCGGUUUUGGGCUACGUUGGACUACACGAACCUCCCGCACCUCCAACCCCCCCCCCCCCCCUCCCCUCGCGCCAACCGUGAUUAGUGAGAAGAUGAAGCCCGUGCUAAGCGAGAUGUUUAGCGAGAAACUUUUGAGGAGGUUGAGAGUUUAGGAGAAGCAUACGUUCGCGUUGGCAAGAACUCCUCCAGUCCCUGCUACACCUAGACGUAGAGGGUCUGCAGGACCCGAAGACAUCCGAUGCUCCCAAAGGCAGACCUCCUAGACGGCAAAAUACAAGGGAAACGUUAGGGUGGGAGAAGGUUAAAUCUACAACAUCACGUAGUAAGAAAACUGAUAAAUGUAAUGUGCGAUUUAAUUAUUUGUAAUGGUAAAUUAGCUAAUGACGUAAACUAACAGCGGGUUUUAUCCCAGUUAAAGCUAACAAAGGAUAAAAUCCACCGUUGAACUGUUUGUUCAGUAAUAAAAAAACGCAGAAAUCUAGUUAUGUUUUUACGUCAUCAUUCUUUAUCUACCAAUCAUUUUUUUCUUUUUCUUCUUCUUCUAUUCUUCUUUGAUUUUUCUUCUCAUUUAAUUCUUUUUCUUAUUCUUCGAUUCUUCUUUUUUUUUCUUCUUCGAUUCUUCUUCUUCUUUUUUUGAUUUUUUUUCUAUCCUUCUUCGAUUCCUUUUUUUUCUUUUUAAUUCUUUGAUUCUUCUUUUUCAAUUUUCUUUUUUUCUUUAUUGAUUCUUCUUUUUUUCAUCUUCAUUGAA